GUAACUGUCGUUGAGUAGGUGUUUGUGUAGGGCUUCUUCAAUUUUAUGGGGUAGUUAUUUGUUUCUGUCAAAAAACAAGAAACAUACAUCAAAACAAACAGUUAUUUACUUUAUGCUUUCGUCAAGUAUACCGUCCGAAACAGCCGGUUAAAACACAUGCCUACCUUGGUCUACCUAGACCGCGGCAAACACCCUGCCAUGUUACAUCUUUGGGUAAAUCAGAGCAAAACGAGGCGGCGCAUUUCAGUAGGCAGGAAGGCGCGAAAGGAGGUUUCCAGGCGAGGACACUGUUCGCUGCCCACAUGCCGAGCUGACCAACCGCACUGAACCACUCACUGACAAGGGGCUCUGUCGUCAGGCCACAACUCUUGUAUGGCGAGGACACUCUUUGUCUGGUGAAGUCAUUCUUGUUGGUCAGGACUUUAUUGUCAAGCCUCAACCUUCUUGUAUGGCAAGGAAAAUCAUCUGGCAAGUAAAAUGAUUCAUUCAGGCUAACCUCCAACACCAGCCUCUGCCAAACACCAGCUGAUGCGUCUGUCUGAAGCAUCAGCCUUACUGAGCUGCUGACUCCACCUGCUACUUCUAUCAGCAACCUUAAGCCACUGCAUUGAUCUGCAACUGUUACCAGAAGCUGUGCCCAAUCUCUCCAACUGAAGCUUCUGCCAGCUACCUCAAGCACUACUCUGAAACUUGACACAAGCUUUAUUACAUUUUUUUCUCAAUGCCAUGACAAUUCCAAGUUUACAUUUUUUUAACCUGUAUUGAAUGUUUGUCUAAAUACAAAUGAUGAUAAAAAUCAGAAAUUUUGUGUUUUUUUUCCUGAAAGCUCUACAUUAUUCAUAGUGGUCCUGUAUCAUGCACAAUUAUCUUAAACCUAAUUUGCACAACUCAAAACAAAUUCGCUAUGGACAAAAAAAAAAAAAAAAGUGUAUCAGUCAGUAAUAGGGGAUCCUUUUUUUUUUUUAAACUUUCUUGAGCUAUACCAGUGGUUCUCAACUGGUAGGUUAGGACCCAAAAGUGGUUUGUGGAACCCUUUUAACUGUGUCCAAGGAAACAAAAAUCAGCCCUAUAAAUAAGGUUUAUAUGAGGUGGCUGUAAUGGCUGCAGAGUAAUCAUUUGGGGCAAAUACGAUCAAGGAAGUUAAAUCCACCCAAAAUGAAUGAACUGCUACACUGUAACUCAUCCCAUCCAAUUGAGAAGUAUUUUCUCAUAGACCAGAGCAAAAGACAAGGUUUUUGUGAAAUUGUUUGCA